rnacentral:rRNA from 1 species
UACGUAGGGACCAAGCGUUGUCCGGAAUCAUUGGGCGUAAAGAGCGUGUAGGCGGCCUGUUAAGUCUUGCGUGAAAUCUCGGGGCUCAACCCCGAGCGGUCGUGAGAAACUGGCAGGCUAGAGUGCGGGAGAGGAGAGUGGAAUUCCUGGUGUAGCGGUGAAAUGCGCAGAUAUCAGGAAGAACACCCGUGGCUAAGGCGGCUCUCUAGUACGGUACUGACGCUGAGACGCGAAAGCGUGGGGAGCGAACAGG